CAUCGCCGCGGUAAUACGUAGGGCGCAAGCGUUAUCCGGAAUUAUUGGGCGUAAAGAGCUCGUAGGCGGUUUGUCGCGUCUGCCGUGAAAGUCCGGGGCUCAACCCCGGAUCUGCGGUGGGUACGGGCAGACUAGAGUGAUGUAGGGGAGACUGGAAUUCCUGGUGUAGCGGUGAAAUACGCAGAUAUCAGGAGGAACACCGAUGGCGAAGGCAGGUCUCUGGGCAUUAACUGACGCUGAGGAGCGAAAGCAUGGGGAGCGAACAGGAUUAGAUACCCGCGUAGUCCCUGUCUCUUAUACA
rnacentral:rRNA from 1 species